AUGGAUUGGUGCCUUCGGGAACUCUGAGACAGGUGCUGCAUGGCUGUCGUCAGCUCGUGUUGUGAAAUGUUGGGUUAAGUCCCGUAACGAGCGCAACCCUUAUCCUUAUUUGCCAGCGAGUAAUGUCGGGAACUCUAAGGAGACUGCCGGUGACAAACCGGAGGAAGGUGGGGAUGACGUCAAGUCAUCAUGGCCCUUACGAGUAGGGCUACACACGUGCUACAAUGGCCGGUACAGAGGGCUGCAAACUCGCGAGAGUAAGCUAAUCUCACAAAACCGGUCGUAGUCCGGAUCGCAGUCUGCAACUCGACUGCGUGAAGUCGGG
rnacentral:rRNA from 1 species